AAAAAUUUAACUCUACACUAUUCUUUAAAAAAUUAAUAUUUUGGAGGACUAAAUUUAUAGCCUAUUUAGCCCUAUCACUGGAGAUUGCCUUAUGUCACUCUAACAUUGAUGGGAUUCUCAACCAAGUCAAAAGCACUACUUCCCACUUUUUUGAUGUAGUUGCUCCGCUCUUUCUUUCUCAAUAUUCUGUUAGUGCUCAAUCUACUGACCAUUGGUAGAAGAAAGAAAAAGUUAGCGGGGUGCUUUCUCUCCUCCCUCCCGGUAUCCCCAUUAGUUGAUAUAAGGAAUUGGAAAUGAAUUCCAGAUCAUUCAGAUUGAAGGCGGGAUAUGGAUGGAAUUGAGAGGGAAGAAAAAGUUGAAACCAACUGGGAUCGGAUCUCUCACCAGAAGUUGGAUCAUACACUUAGAAGUCCAAACCCAACACAAAAAGCUAAGUUCAGAAGUUCCAGCAAAAGUCUCCUUGCAAGUGGUGGAAUUCAAAGAUGGGAAGACUCGUAGUCAACCUACCAGGACAUAUUGCAUCACAGCUCAAGAGAAGAGUUUCACAAUCCCGAAUUCCAUUUUAUUGACCAACCAUAUGGGUUGGUGGUGGUUGGGAAGUUCUCAUUAGAUGCUUAGAGCUCCAAAAGACAUUAAUAUUGGAAGGAGUUUCAAGGAAGAGUUAGUUCUAGCCAUUUAAUGACCAAACCCGUUAGCGGAAGAAAGUUCUAGAAAUAGGUCAUUAGAAGAAGAAAAGAGGACCUCCAACUCAACACACAAAACCUAUCUUUUUAUCCUAUACCUUUCAAUUCCUAGUCUAGGAUUUUAUCUUUCAAGCACUUUAGAUUAUCCAAGUUCUUCAUUUUCCUAGUGUAAGCUUAUUUUCUUGCAAUUUACUUUCAGUCGUCAUUAAAUUUAAGUUUAAUUCAAGUCUUUAUCAUUUUAAUCUAUUUUAUCGCAUUU
rnacentral:lncRNA from 1 species